UCCAGGGUAGCCUAGUGGACAUGGCAUCUGCCCGGUAAGCGGAAGAUUGUGGGUUCGAUUCCCGCCCCUGGAC